AACGAACGCUGGCGGCAUGCCUAACACAUGCAAGUCGAACGAGACCUUCGGGUCUAGUGGCGCACGGGUGCGUAACGCGUGGGAACCUGCCCUUAGGUUCGGAAUAACUCCCCGAAAGGGGUGCCAAUACCGGAUAAUGUCUUCGGACCAAAGAUUUAUCGCCUUUGGAUGGGCCCGCGUUGGAUUAGCUAGUUGGUAGGGUAAAAGCCUACCAAGGCGACGAUCCAUAGCUGGUCUGAGAGGAUGAUCAGCCACACUGGGACUGAGACACGGCCCAGACUCCUACGGGAGGAAGCAGUGGGGAAUAUUGGACAAUGGGCGAAAGCCUGAUCCAGCAAUGCCGCGUGAGUGAUGAAGGCCUUAGGGUUGUAAAGCUCUUUUACCCGGGAUGAUAAUGACAGUACCGGGAGAAUAAGCUCCGGCUAACUCCGUG
rnacentral:rRNA from 1 species